rnacentral:rRNA from 1 species
AGAGUUUGAUCAUGGCUCAGAUUGAACGCUGGCGGCAGGCCUAACACAUGCAAGUCGAACGGUAGCACAGAGAGCUUGCUCUCGGGUGACGAGUGGCGGACGGGUGAGUAAUGUCUGGGAAACUGCCUGAUGGAGGGGGAUAACUACUGGAAACGGUAGCUAAUACCGCAUAACGUCUUCGGACCAAAGUGGGGGACCUUCGGGCCUCACACCAUCGGAUGUGCCCAGAUGGGAUUAGCUAGUAGGUGGGGUAAUGGCUCACCUAGGCGACGAUCCCUAGCUGGUCUGAGAGGAUGACCAGCCACACUGGAACUGAGACACGGUCCAGACUCCUACGGGAGGCAGCAGUGGGGAAUAUUGCACAAUGGGCGCAAGCCUGAUGCAGCCAUGCCGCGUGUAUGAAGAAGGCCUUCGGGUUGUAAAGUACUUUCAGCGGGGAGGAAGGCGAUAAGGUUAAUAACCUUGUCGA